GCCUAAGGGCUGAACUGGUGACUUGGAAAAGUGAUAAGUCCAAUCUAGAUAGUAAAAAUAUUAUCUAUUGGAUUUAAUUCUCAGGGAAUGAAGCUUUGUUUGUAUAUUUAUAAUGAUAAUAUACCUAUUUAGUCUCGACCAAUUACGUGCCAGCAGUCGCGGUAAUACGUAAGAGACAAGUGUUAUUCAUCUUAAUUAGGUUUAAAGGGUACUCAGGCGGUCAAAGUAAAAAUUUUAAUGCUUGACUAGAGUUAUAUAUAAGAGAGCAGUACUUGAGGAGGAAGAGAUUAUAUUCGAUCAUACCAAAGGGACUCGGUUAAUGCGAAGGCAGCUCUUUAGGUAAUAACUGACGUUAAAGGACGAAGGCACAGAGAACAAAAAGGAUUAGAUACCCAAGUAGUCUUUGCAGUAAAUGAUAAACGCCAUGAAUUAGAUAAAGAUAUUAAUUAAUAGCUUUUUUAGUAAAGAAGUAUUAUUAAUAAGAUUUAGUUUAUAAAUGAAAGUGUAAGCGUUUCACCUCAAGAGUAAUGUGGCAACGCAGGAACUGAAAUCACUAGACCGUUUCUAACACCAGUAGUGAAGUAU
rnacentral:rRNA from 1 species